rnacentral:lncRNA from 1 species
AUGAUAAGGAAAGAUAUUGUUCAGCCUCCUAAAAUGCCUUGUAUUCACUGGAAAAUGCUAAUGGGAUUAUAUAAAGGUUAUUUCAGCCUCCUUUCAAGACUGAAGACGUGGCAAAACAAUCAUGAUGCCCUUUGUUUAUGCCUUUUUAAUGACUGCUUUUACCUUCAGGUAUCUGAGACUUCUGCAUCUUUUCAAGGAAGUUCUUGGAGUGCUUUUUGGUGGAAACUUCCUGAGGAAUGUAAAUGUGCCUGUGAUUUUAGAGGUGUGGAGAGAGCUGGGGUGUUGGAGCACUCUGGCAGUCUGGCCAGGGUUUGCUGUGCAUGUUUGGAUGUCUCUGUGUAUUUUGCAGGUCAGGAGCUGCAUCCAGAGGUCCACCAAGCUCCUGUGCUGUGUGUGAGCAGCAGUGCUUGGGGCUCUGCUCUGUCCUUCCCUGCCUGUGGGGCUGUGCCAGGCUGCAGGAGGAGCUCAGUGCGUGGCACAGCCCUUCUGCAGCCUCCAGCGCAGAGGGACCUUUGCUACACUGCAGCUGUGAAUCUCUGGGGCUGUUCCACUGCUAUCACAUAGAGGCACAAAGGCAAGAGCAGCUCCAGCCCUUGUCACCCUGGGAAUGUGUGGGGAAACCAUGGAGCUCCCCAGCCACUGCAGCCACAGGAGACAUUGCUCCAUCAGGAGAGGAUCUUGACAAGGUUCUCUUGCCACAGGCUGGAGUGUGGGAGUGAGUCUGUUCAGAGGCAGCUGGGGAAGGAGAUGGGUCACUGUGAGUCCCACAGCAGCCAUGAGGAGCCCCUCAGGUGCUCAUAAAUGGGCAGAGCUGCUCUUCUUGGGCAGAGCAACACAGUUCAGGGCUCUGCUGUCAGCUCAGAGGAUUGCACAGAGCAACCUUGCUUGCCCAGACCUUGAGUGUGUCCCUACUGUCUGGAGCCUGCAGUUCUCAUGGUGAAGAAGACUGGAAAAUAUUCUCCUGGUUUUCUGGUAGAGUGACAGAAUGGGUUUGGUAUUGCACCAGAAAAAGCUGAUAUGGCCAAGGCGCACCCUUGGCAUUUCAGCAGGGUUUGACUGCAACCUCCGUGCAAGAAAUCUCAUCUUGCCUCCAACUGGGAAUCCACCAAAUCCCAACAAAUGGGAUUCAGAAGCUUGUCAGGGUAGGAAACAGUUCUUCUCUGUUGGGAUUUUGCCACUUUAUGGUUCUUAUUCCUGCUCCAAAACUCACUGGGAGAUAUGGCUUUGUUCUCUUAGAUUUGACUCCAACUGGGAAUCCACCAAAUCCCAACAAAUGGGAUUCAGAAUCAUGUCAGGGUAUGAAACAGUCCUUCUCUGUUGGGAUUUUGCCACUUUAUGGUUCUUAUUCCUGUUUCCAAACUCGCUGGGAGACAUGGGUUUGUUCUCUUAGAUUUGGCUCAGGAAUUUAAGGUGAGGGCUCCAUCACUCAAGAGAGUAUCACAACCACUCCAAGUUGUAUGGAUGUGGGGUAGAGGCAGGUUUUCCUGUGUUUGUGGUGGAUCAGUGGUUGUACAGAGGGAUCUUCAGUGAAGACAUGCACCAGCUCAUCACUAUUUGUGUAAAUGAGGAAAAAGACAGAAAAAAACUGUUUGGGGCAAGGAAGAGGGCAGGCCCUGGGAGUGAGUGAGACUAAAAAAGCCAAAGUGAUAGCUGUAAAUGGUUUUAAAUGUAUACAAAACACAUCUGUGUAAUUAAUCACCCUGAUUUAAGUUACACCCCUUUUUUUCAUGUGUGUGUAGGUAACACCAAGGGCUACAGUGUUAUCUUGGAGGAAUGUUUGUGUCUGGGGAUCCAUACUCAGCCUGCCAAUAACAAAUCUUCCCCCGAGUUUCUGAACCAUUAAUUACAGUUUUGUAACAGGCAAGUUUUGCAACCAGCUCAAGGUAAUUCACUACAACACAGACGUCUGGCAGAAACAAAUGAAUCUCUGAUGUGAAAACUGACAGUUGCUUAGACAUGAAUGCUCAAGACUUUGUAAUGUUUGUUAUUAAAAAUAAAAC